ACCUGGGUGGUUCAGUCGGUUAAGCACCUGACUUCAGUUCAGGUCAUGAUAUCACAGUUUGUGAGUUCAACUCCCACAUCAGGCU
rnacentral:tRNA from 1 species